UACGAAGGGGGCUAGCGUUGCUCGGAAUCACUGGGCGUAAAGGGUGCGUAGGCGGGUCUUUAAGUCAGGGGUGAAAUCCUGGAGCUCGACUCCAGAACUGCCUUUGAUACUGAAGAUCUUGAGUUCGGGAGAGGUGAGUGGAACUGCGAGUGUAGAGGUGAAAUUCGUAGAUAUUCGCAAGAACACCAGUGGCGAAGGCGGCUCACUGGUCCGGUACUGACGCUGAGGUGCGAAAGCGUGGGGAGCAAACAGG
rnacentral:rRNA from 1 species